UAGGGAAUCUUCCGCAAUGGGCGAAAGCUUGACGGAGCAACGCCGCGUGAGUGAUGAAGGUCUUCGGAUCGUAAAACUCUGUUAUUAGGGAAGAACAAAUGUGUAAGUAACUAUGCACGUCUUGACGGUACCUAAUCAGAAAGCCACGGCUAACUACGUGCCAGCAGCCGCGGUAAUACGUAGGUGGCAAGCGUUAUCCGGAAUUAUUGGGCGUAAAGCGCGCGUAGGCGGUUUUUUAAGUCUGAUGUGAAAGCCCACGGCUCAACCGUGGAGGGUCAUUGGAAACUGGAAAACUUGAGUGCAGAAGAGGAAAGUGGAAUUCCAUGUGUAACGGUGAAAUGCGCAGAGAUAUGGAGGAACACCAGUGGCGAAGGCGACUUUCUGGUCUGUAACUGACGCUGAUGUGCGAAAGCGUGGGGAUCAAACAGG
rnacentral:rRNA from 1 species